rnacentral:rRNA from 1 species
UACAAAGGAAUUGACGGGGCCCGCACAAGCGGUGGAGCAUGUGGUUAAUUCGACGCAACGCGAAGAACCUUACCAGGGCUUGACAUCCCCUGACCGCGUAUGAAAGUACGUUUUCACCCUCGGGUGACAGGGAGACAGGUGGUGCAUGGUUGUCGUCAGCUCGUGUCGUGAGAUGUUGGGUUAAGUCCCGCAACGAGCGCAACCCCUAUUGUUAGUUGCCAUCAUUCAGUUGGGCACUCUAGCGAGACUGCCGGUAAUAAACCGGAGGAAGGUGGGAUGACGUCAAAUCAUCAUGCCCCUUAUGACCUGGGCUACACACGUGCUACAAUGGUUGGUACAACGAGUUGCGAGUCGGUGACGGCGAGCUAAUCUCUUAAAGCCAAUCUCAGUUCGGAUUGUAGGCUGCAACUCGCCUACAUGAAGUCGGAAUCGCUAGUAAUCGCGGAUCAGCACGCCGCGGUGAAUACGUUCCCGGGCCUU